GGGCGUAUAGCUCAUCGCUGGUAGAGCAUCGGUCUCUUAAACCGAGGGUGGCGAGUUCAAGCCUCGCUGCGCCCACCA
rnacentral:tRNA from 1 species